rnacentral:lncRNA from 1 species
GAAACAUUUCAAAACAUGCAGUGAAGAGCUACCAACUAUAGUAAUUUUCUUAAUGUAUGUACUAUUAGUUGGCAAAGGAAAUUGAUUUUGUGCCACCAAAUAAAUGCACAUCAUCUCGUCUGCUUAUUCUGUAUGGCUAGAGAUAUGCAAUCCUUUUGCCGACCAAUUGACAAUAAUGGCUGAAGCAAGUUUAUACAGAUACAUAGCAAUGGACAUCAAAAAAUGAUAUAAGGAACUAAGGCUAAGAGUACCCCCCCUAUUUCUUCAGUAUCUUCAGAUUCAUCAUCUUCAACAUCUUGACCAUAUUUGUCAAGUCGUCAUCAGGCCUAAGCCUGGCUCUGUUGUUGGCUUGGCUGCUGCAUGCCACAACCAUUAUAUCAAUUAGAGCAAAUAGAAGCAGACCCUAAUUAGUCCAGAGAAAAAAAUUCAGAGGUAACACAUACUAGAAGUCCAGCCACAACCACAACCAGAGAUAACAUAUCGUGGCAAGCGGAUAUCAAAGGAACAUGAUCCAUAGCCAGAGGCUCGGGAUAGACCAAAUGCAGCGACCGUUAACAAAUCCAAAUUCAGUGUUAACAACAACCACUUAUAUGUAUUUGGACGUACAUAGAAAUUAGAUAUUUCCUAAUUGUUUGCAUAACAGAAAACAUACUGGCUGCAAAAGAAUGAAAGACUAACCUAUUGAUGAGCAUAACAGUACAUACCAUCCCAUCAUGAUGUUGCCAUCUCUCACGCUUGAUGAUUACAUCUUGUUAUUUCUAACAUGUACACCAUCGGGCGAUUGCUUUAUUAGAAAUAUAUUUACACAAUAUGAUCAGAGCAACAUCAAGGAGCCGGAUGCAGGUGCACAGAUUCUCCUCAAAUUCCACAACAACCAUUAUAGAGAAUAACAACAUAUUUUUCUUAGGUGAUUUUUGAUCGAGCUCCUACAGAAAAAUUCAAAGAAAUCAUGAGGAGCAUGGAGCCAAGCAAACUAAUCAGAGUAAAUCUUGAGAGAAGAAGCCUCUCAACCUACUACAGGGAAUCGAGUCAACAUUAAUUCGUGUUAGAAUUAAACCGUAAUGUAGAUCAACAAAACCUGCUGACAUCACAAAAUAAAUGUUUCAUUAACAGAAACUCUAGCGAAUGCCAAUUGGAUUAUAUAAGUAAGAUAGAGACAUCGAAAAAAAGAAAAGAUAAUUCUAAGAGUAUAUAUUCUAUUUUCUUACUUGACAUCACAGAGAAUGCAAGUCAAAGAAAUUGUGAUACAUCCUACCCUUCUAUAAAUUGACUGCAAGGCACAAUCCCUAGCAAAAUAUACAGAAUGAAUUGCUCCUAUGGUCCAAGUAUUGCAUAAAUAGUUAUAUACAGACUAUUCAACAGUGAGCAUAAACAUGGCAUGUACUACCAAAAUCCCUUUGCUAUGGAGCUUAUUCUUCAUGUCUAUUCGUCUUUCUGUAUACUCUCCUCAAAGAAAAAAAUGGUUUCAAAUAAAUAAAUGAAAUAAUUGUCUGUAGAUAGUUUCCUUGAAUGAAUCAGGCCCAAGAAGACUCACGUCAAUCUUAGUAGAAUAUACAAGCAACUAGCAAAUUCAUCAUGCGGAGUCAAGGCACGCUGCACUGAGACUGAACAACAGAUCUGCGUGAAAACCUCAAAAUACCGGAUGAGGGUGGCGCCGCCGCCGCUGACGAGUGCGGCCCGUGGGGACUCAGCUUAGGACAGCGAGGUGGUGUACAAUGAGCGAUGGCGCGCGGUGGCAAGCGCUAGGCACGGACGCAUCGCCGGCGGGUAUGACGGCCACUUGCUGCAAGGGUCAAACAAAGUCGAUCUGGGACAGGAGAGAUGGGAGAGUCCAGGUAAGAGCAAUUGGGUAAGAAAGAGGGCGGAGGUGGGGAGAACAAAUGAAACACCUACCACCGAUAGCAUAGAAGAUGAACUGAAGGACAUCCCAUCUGUUGUAAAACAACCGACAUUCACUCUACCUGAAACAAACAAUAUGUGCCUAUUAGAGGUGUCAUACUCUCCCUUUAGCUUCCCAUUAUCCCUCUUAGUAUAAUCAUCAUCAAUCUUGUUUUUCUUUGCCUAAAACCGUAGAGAAAAAUAAUACCUAUAGGAGUUGUUCACCACAUAUAUGUUAUUUUCCUUGACAAUUGCAUGUAUUACUUGUACCUACAGAGAGGAGAUAACCACAUGUCAAGAAUACAGAUGAAAAAAGGGCAGCCUGGUGCAUGUAGCUCUCGCUUGCGCAGGGUCCGGAGAAGGGUCCGACCACUUUGGGUGUAUUGUACGCAGCCUUUCCCUACAUUUCUGUAAGAGGCUGUUUCCAGGACUUGAUGCAAAUCUAAAAAGUAUAUUAUGAGUAACAGAUAGAAAAUAAGACCCAUAUCAUUCCAAUCUAUUACGCCUUUGUAUAAUUGUAGUGCAUUACGUAGGAACACAACUUGGAGUACCUAGCAUAAUAAUUCCAAUGAUUCUAUGACUAUAAAAUGCCUAUCAGCGAGAAUGCAACCUGAAAGCUAAAUCUUUUUAAGGUAAUCCUUCCUGGUCUUCACAAAACAAGAUGAUCUAGAUAGCCCACACGUAAAGAAGAACCGAUGCCUGAUUGGUACUUCAGAUUAACAUCAAGUUGUUCGAUUGAGGUGCAACUAUAUUGGUUGCGAAGGCACCCAUUCAUGGUGCAAGAGAAUAUCAAAUCAUAAUAAUGAUCAUGCAAAGAGGCAUUACCAAUGAGGCUAGUAAAAUUCAGAAUGAUCCAACAUAAAUGUAAUUGCCAUGACAUGCUUAGGAAAAUUUUAAAUCAUGAUAUAUACAUCUCUCUACUCCAAAAAAUUGAAAUCAAAUGUGCAAUGGCACAUAAAUAUCAUAUUACACUCCCAAAAAUAUUUUUCUUUUAUACAUGGGCAUAAAGCAAGCUCUAAAUAAAGUUAGCAAACUAAAUAUCUCCUGCAAAAUUGUAAUCAUAAUGUAUAGUGACAUUAGUUAUUUUGGGAAAAACAAAACCAUCACAAAGUGCAGACUUAUUAUCCUAACCGUGAGACAUAAAAAAUUACAAGCACCAAGAAAAGGGUGAUUUUUUUACCUUUGCACAUAUGUCAAGUUUGUAGUGGUUGGAUGUCGCUCUCUCCUCAACCACACAUGUCCAAAGCCUGAACAAAUUCUUCUGCAUUUCUUCCUCUUGGAUUGUAGCUACAUGCAAACAAAAUGGGUUACAUACUUCAACAUUGGGCUGUAAAUCUUCCUAUCAAUCUUCAUCUUGCACUUGACCUUCUUCAACCCCUCCACUUCUAGAGAUCUCAGUACAAAAGAGGCAUAAAUAACUUGUGAUCAUUAGAAGAAAUUACCUCCAGUUCCAAAGAAUAAAUGUACAUGGCAUAGAUAUGUUAAUCACUAUGUAGGAAUCAUCACACAGUCUUGCUACUUUGAAGUAACAAUAAGCAACUCCAUACCUAUUCGUUGACGUAGGGAUGAACAAUUGAUUGAAACUUGUUAUAGAACUAACUAAAGGCAAUGAACUGAUGGAAGUAUCAAAUUCAAUAAACUAACUAAAGGCAACUCACCAUGGUAUAAAAAAAUUGAAGUCUAGAGGGAAAAACCAAUAAAAAUAACAUAUAGUGGAAACUGUGGAAGGAAGACAAAUGACUGCUUAUUCGAACCAGCAGACUUAACCUUUUUAUUUUUAUACAAUUUUUAUUAACAUUUAUCCAGAUGCUAUCAAGUUACAGUCUUUAAUUUCCAGUCUACCACUCACACUCACUUUCUGUAGCCAGUGUAUAACUUGACAUACACCUUAUAUUGGAAAUAAACCAUAUAUUGAUAGUGAAUAUGUUGUCCUGCAGUACAGAGCCCUACAUAAAUGGUAAUCAAACAUUACAAAGAGGUCAGAGUUUGCUAAUUGCUCCCAGGUCAAAAAAUGUUUUAAAUGGUAUAGCAGCACAUUAGGCUAAUCAUCAUAUAUGAUUUAAUUGCCUCUAAUUAUGGGAACCUCUAUUUUGAAUCAUCUUGCUCCGUACUAUGAUUGCUUGCUCUUCAAAGGGAACUCAUCUUUGAAUUCCUUAAAACAUGUCUUAGUUAUUUAUUUUUCUAGCACCUGACAUAAUGAUGUAAAGUUUGAGAUAGAAAAUGCUAAGAAACCACAUAAAUUUUAUUUUAGUUCAGAUCGCUUCCGAUAAUAGAAAUGAACUAUAGAUCAAAAGGAGAAGUAAGCUUACUUAACUGGAAGUAGCAUGAAGAUGAGAUGAUGAAACUAUUAUUAUGUACCACAUUCUUCUGACGGGAUUCCGACAUACCACACCUGACCACAACCAAGAUGAUUAGGGCAUGCAUCUCAAAUACAAGUUGCAGGAAUCUUGCAACCGUAGGGGUUCUCCGGCUGCUCAGAAUACAUCAGUGAUGGUGCAGACUGGUAGUGGGAAGGCGCGGCCAAAACAAUCAACCUCAAUGGCGGCCUGUCAUCCUUGAUGGUGGUAGUUCCAACUCAGUGCUCGAUGGUCGUCGGCGGCGGCAGUACCCAGAGUUCUCAAUGGAGGCAGUUCCUGCUCAUACCUGGUGGCAGUGCCAGUAGCCCUCAAGAAUCAGUAUCGGUAGUAGAAAAUGACACAUGUGUGGCAUCAACGCCUACAGCGUUGUUUACAUCAUGUCACUCAUCUCGUGCAGUGCACCAUGACCCGCCGAUGUGUCGUCCCAUGCCUCCUUCCUGCCUCGGCACUACGCCGCCGCCACGCUGACUCCCAUGUGUUGCCUGGAUCUGACCGACAUGGGCCUCAAGUGGCAACCUGGCCUCACCCGCGCUCAGAUCCGGCUGCUGACUUCCCUAAUGCACGCUCCUCCCCCCUACAGAAACGCAUGCCGCCACUUCACCUUGAGCACUCAUGGCCAACUCCAAGCCCUUCGUCACAAGCUUCGUGUUGGAUCCGAGAGAGCCGUUGCAGUGGCAGCGGCCUCGCACGGAGGAACACAGCGCGAAGGUUCGGCACGGACGACUGCAUGGCGGUCGGUGGCCAGAAGAGCACGGGCGCUGGUGGUGAUCAGAUGCGAAGCGGUGGGGGCGUGGGUGAUCGAUAGGAAGGGGAUCGUGGAGUCGAGCCGGAGGUGGGGCGGCGGCCGCGGCUGGAGGUGGGUGCGACAGCCGCGGCUGGAGGCGGGGGCGGCAGCGACGGGCGGCGGCGUUUGAGGAAGGGAGAUGGGGGAGGGGAUCGGCGGCGGCUGCAAGGGGAUUGAGCGACGUAGGAACGAAUGACGGUGGCGACUUGUGCGAGCAAGUGCAUCGAGGUCACGAGGGUGCGAGCGUCUGGCUAAUUUUCGUAGGUUAAUUUUUGUAGAUUUUUUUAGAGCGAGUUUUUUUCGAUCAACCGGAGGGUUUAGCACUAUACAUAGUGGGAGUAUACCAAUUUUUAUUUCCUAGUUCGAGGGCGGAGGGGGGAAUCGAGGGGAAGUGGGAGGUGGGAUCAAGGACGAAAAAAACCGUCUCUGGUGGGACGAAAAUUGACCGGCGGAGACUACGAACUGCUCCAUAGGAGUAGAGAUCCUUGUUUGUUCCUUGUGGGACUAACCCGUGUAGGUAUUGAAAGUGUAGCUCACUCCAAAGGAUUGCUCCAAAUGAUCUACAUCAACAUUGAGCAUCUACAUCUUCAACACCUACAUGAAGUCAUCAUCGACAAAACCCAAGGUUAGUUCAUCCCUCUUAGGGGGGAUAUCACAUCUAGGGGGAGCAUUACUCUAACCAAUUGAGGUAAAGCAACUCUAAUGGUAUGAACACAACAAUGCUUUAUGUAAAUGUGGUAACCCCACUUGUGCUUAAACGAUGAGUAUGACCUAUGAUCAAAUGUUCUCAUUUGACUCCUAAGUCAAUAUAAUCAUAUAUAGAUGACCUAGUCAUCGCCAAAUUGCUUGAUUGAUGCUAGAGUGUUUGUGCAUGCUUUGUCACAUAUUUCAUUUGCCAUUUUAUUGUGUGAGCAUGUUGGUUGCAUAUUUUGCUUAUUCGAGGACAUCCAUUUGUUGUUUUGAUUGUUUGGAUCUUUCUCUUUUGCCAAAUGGAUGGAUAAUAAUGCCUAAGAACUCUCUCUAGCUAUCUAUGCUUUUCUCUUCUCAAACUCUAUUCAUGCUACAUCACAAAGUUUGAUCAAGUCAGAUUCGAACCAGUCUGUGUGAGAAGCACUCGGAGUUCCCGAUUCGUCAUAGACUUAAACCUCCAAAACCUCUUUGUGCAUCUCGGUCUGACCAAUUCAUCCUUUUCGGUCCUACCGAGUCACUAAGUUAAUUUAGGGUUUUCAAUCUAGGUGCAACCGAUUAGAACCUUUCGGUCACAUCGAGUUGCAGUAACUGCCUGCAGUUUUGCAUCUCGGUGCCACCGAGUCGUUCCACUCGGUCACACCGACAGGGUCAGGUUAUAUAUACCGACGGGCCAAAAUUUGGAAAUUUUUCCGAACCUCCUCGCCCGCGCAUAACCUACUCUGCCUCCUCAGGUCAACGGAUCGUCCUCUCGUCGCCAGCAACCUCCUGCCGCUGGUCUCCACCGCCGUCAACAGAAAUCUUCACCGCCGUUGCCGCCGUAGCAAGUUCGUCGCCGAACUAGGGUACAAACUUGAUCAUUGUGCUAAUCCUUAACUCCGAUUCUUAGCACAUUGCUUUGCCAUGAUUCUUGUCACGAAUGAAAUCAUCCCGUCCAGCGAAAACAUCCCGUAGAUUAGUUUUGAUUGGAAAAUUUAGGGUUAGGUCUCCGCUAAAUUCAUCUCGGACCGACCGAGUUGUGGAAAUCGGUCUCACCGAUUUUGGCUUAGGCCGGAGCACACGCGUUUUCGGUCUGACCAAAAAUUGCAAAUUGGUGUGACCGAGUUCAAUUCUCUGUGAAACCCUAGCAGUCUCGGUGCCACUGAACUGUGACUCGGUCUAAUCGAGUUCACUAGUUUAGGUUCCAAAAACUGCUUCGGUAUCACCGAGUUUACAAAUCGGUAGAUCCGAAAUGCUUUCUGUGAAUAACUAAAACUAAGUUUUUGAGUCAAUUGUUUUGCAAAACUCAUAUACUUUGUGAUACUCAUCUACUCUACCUCAUUUAUAAUCUAUUCACAGGGUCUGCUGACAGUUUGCCUGCAUGAUGUCUGACCAAAGUGAUAGCCAGAACAAGUCUGAGGAGCAGGAUUCAACUGAGUGAGGGCACUAGUCCCUCUAGUUCAUCUGAUGAUGGCAACAUGAGCACACCAAGUAACUUGCCAAAGGCAGCCACCAGAACAAGAAAGGAGAAGACCUCAGAUUCAGAGGAUGAGGACUAUGUGGCUGUUGAGGAAGAAGUUAUCUCCAAGAAAAAGGUGCUGAGAAAGGAGUAUGGCUCAGCUGCUAUAGUCAGGCCAGGGAUGCAUAAGAAGGCACCAGCAAAAAGAGUCCCCAUGUCUAAGGCCUGAGCAUCUACUACUGAAACCUCCAAGCCAUCUGAAGAGGUAGUUGGAGAAGGCAAGAAAAGGAAGGAAAGGGUCAAGAAGACCACUGCCAGAGUGCUUGGCAGAUCAUCAAUUAUGAGAGAUGAUGUUGAAGAGGAAGAGGAUGCUGCACCAGCACCCAAAGCUCAAAAGCUCAUGGGAGAUGCAAUUAGAUCAGGGGCUGCUCCAUCUAAGCCCAAAGUUGCUCCCAAGGCAGCUGCUCCAGCUCAGAAGCACAAUAGAAGCACUAGAAACAUUUCUGUUGAGGAAAAGAACAAGGCCCUAGUGCCUGAAGUUGCUGCUGAAGAAGAAGAAACUCAAGUGCUAAGGAAGCUGAAACCCAAGAUCCCUGACCACAAUGAUGCACAUCCAGUCGCAGAAAACAUGAAAAUCAGGAAGGAUGCAGGAUUGAGAAUAUGGAGAGAGUCAGAUCCAUAUGCUACCAGGAGAAGAACUGCCGUGGACUACAAGUUUCACACUAAGGAACAGCAGGACUUCUAUGAGACAGUGUUGCUUGACAAGAAGCCCAUUGUGUGUGACAUGAAAUGGGUAGACUAGGAGUACAUCCAGAAGAAUGAAUAUCACUAUCCUGGAGUGUAUGACAGUUUUAAGGCAUGUGGAGUUGAUGAAUUCGUUGCACAAAAGCUCACCAGGUGGAAUGAUGAGCUGAUCAUGCAGUUCUACUCCACUGCCCACUUCUAUCCAGAUGGGAAGAUUGUAUGGAUGUCUAAGGGUACUAGGUACCAAUCCACAUUUGAUGAAUGGGCUCAGUUGAUCAAUGCCCCAAAAGAAAGUGAGGAUGACUUGGAUGUUUAUGCAGAGAAAAAGAAAGACCACAACACUAUGGCCAACAUGUACAAGGAGAUCCCAAAUGCUGCCUUGGAUACACACAAGUUUGGAUCUGUCCACUACUUGUUGUCUGGUCUGUCUACCAUAAACUGGAUAUUAAGGCACACACUGCUACCCAAGCCAGGUGAUCACAAGAUGAUCAAAGGACAUGCUAUAAACUUGCUGCACAUAUUUGAUGUCACACAGAAGUUCAAGGUCAUGAGCCUGAUUGUUGAGACAAUCAAGAGGACUGCUGCUGAUCAGAAGAGGAGUUGUGGGUAUGCUCCACAAAUUCAGGAGCUCAUUAACUCAAAGAUGGGCACCGACACAUCUUUUGGACAAAGAGCACCUGCCCAUCUAUCAUGAAUUUUAAGACAACACUGUGGUGAUGGAUGAAAAUGAACCAUCUUCAGCUCAAGCACAUGAGUAGAGAGAGAAGGCAAAGGCAGAGAAAGCCGCAAAGAUGCCAACUGUAGAAGAGGCAUCUCAAGUGUUCUCGAAAUCCAAACAAGAUCAACUUGGAUAUCUGAUCCAAUCCACCCUGAGGAUUGAGAAGGGCUUGGCCACCCUGACAAAUAACCAAGAGAGUUUGGAGAGGAUCGUCGAGCAAAAGUUCUAUGAUCUAGAUGUCAAGGUAACUAAGAUCCAAACUGCAGUUGAGCAGCUACAGGAGGAAGCAGAGGAGACGAAGGGCAAGUCUACUACUGAUGCUUUCAAGCGAGUGCCACGAGGUCCAAGGUCUGCUGCAGUGCCCGUGACAGAUACUCGAGCUUCAGUGUCAGCACCAGCAGCCACAUCUCCAGUUCCACCUCCAGCACCCACUCCAUCAGCUCCAACUACUUCAUCGUAAGCCUUUGUCCUUAGGGUUCUCUCUACACCACCUCCCGAAGAUCAAGCCUGAUCGUCGUAUAGAACUAUGCAUUUUUGAACUUUUUGUUAACUUGUUUCCAAAGGGGGAGAAAAAUGUAUAGAUCAUAGGCUUCGAGAGAGAGUGUUGGUUUUUAUCUCUCUUGCUAUUUUGUUUGAAAUUUUUUGUGUGCUUGUGUGAGCUCUUGUGUGAGCUACUUGUGAGAUACUUGUUGAUCAUGUGUUUGAUCAUAUGCUACCCUUAAUGUUUGGUUGAAUGAUGCUAUCUUUUAUAUCUCUUAUAUGAUCAUUCACUUGCUUGGUUAUGAGUGAAUGCUUUUAAUCUCUAUCAUUUUGAGCGCUCCACCAAGAUGCAUGUGACAUGGAAGAGUAACCCAUGAUCCUAACCGAUUGCGCAUUUGCAUUCAAAAGAAAAUUUUAAAUAAUGCACAAAUUUAGGGGGAGCUCUUGCUUAUCACAUACUUCUCAAAGCGAUGAUGUUUUUCAAUCUUAUUUAUCAUUUGUCGAAGCUUUGAUCUAUAUGUUGUCAUUAAUUACCAAAAAGGGGGAGAUUGAAAGUGCAACUAUCCCUAGGUGGUUUUGGUAAUUCCUAACAACAUAUAGCUCAUUGAGCUAAUGCUAUUCCAAGAUGAAUAUUUUAGGAAAGCUCAAUGGUUGGCAUGGCAUGGAUUAGAAAGUGGACCCUUCAAAAUGCUAAGGAUAAAAGAUUGGCUCAAGCUCAAAGUACAAGACUCUACAUUUUCUAUUUUAGUGAUCGAAGAUCACAUUGAGUCUAUAGGAAAAGCCAAUACUAUUAAGAAGGGAUGAUGUGUUGCUUAAUGAGGUGCUUGCUCAAAGUGCUUAGUGAUAUGCUCCAAAACCCUCCACUACUUUCUCAUAUCCACAUAUGUCCCACACCAAAUAUCCAACUCAGCCCCACCAAUUCUUUCUAUCCGGCGCCACCGAGUUCAGUUGACCUAGCCACUGCCAGAAACCCUAGUAUUUUUGGUCUCACCGAUAGGGAUCUCCGUCUCACCGAGAUGGGAUUGUAAUCUCUCUGUUUCCCUUCAUAAUGUUUCGGUCCAACCGAGAUGAGCAAGCGGUCCCACCGAGAUUGCAAUGUAAACUCUCUAUUUCCCUUUCGUAACACUUCAGUCCAACCGAGAUGAGUGAAUCGGUCCCACCGAGUUUGCCUGACCAACUCUUUGUUAGUCCAUUACCAAAAUCAGUUUCACCGAGUUUGUGUAAUCAGUCUCACCGAGAUUACGUUAUGCCCUAACACUAACGAAAUCGGUCCCACCGAGUUGACAUGUCGGUCCCACCGAGAAUUCUAACAUUCACAUUUUGAACUAAAUCGGUCUGACCGAGUUUCAUGAUUCGGUCCCACCGAGUUUGGUGAUUUGUGUGUAACGGUUAGAUUUUGUGUGGAGGCUAUAAAUACCCCUCUACCCACUCUUCAUUUGAAGAGAGAGCCAUCAGAACAUGCCUACACUUCCAAUACAUAUUUUCUGAGAGAGAACCACCUACACUUGUGUUGAGGUCAAGAUAUUUCAUUCCAACCACAUAAAUCUUGAUCUCUAGCCUUCCCCAAGUUGCUCUCCACUCAAAUAUUCUUUCAACCAAAUCCAAUCCUAUGAGAGAGAGUUGAGUGUUGAGGAGACUAUCAUUUGAAGCACAAGAGCAAGGAGUUCAUCAUCAACACACCAUUUGUUACUUCUUGGAGAGUGGUGUCUCCUAGAUUGGCUAGGUGUCACUUGUGAGCCUCUGACAAGAUUGUGGAGUUGAACCAAGGAGUUUGUAAGGGCAAGGAGAUCGCCUUUUUAGUGAAGAUCUACCCUAGUGAGGCAAGUCCUUCAUGGGCGACGGCCAUGGUGGGAUAGAUAAGGUUGUUUCUUCGUGGACCCUUCGUGGGUGGAGCCCUCCGUGGACUCGCGCAAUCAUUACCCUUUGUGGGUUGAAGUCUCCAUCAACGUGGAUGUACGAUAGCACCACCUAUCGGAACCAAAAUCUCCGUGUCAACAUUGUGUUUGCUCCCUCAAACUCCUCCCUUUACCCUCAUAUGCAAUUUCUUUACAUUCUGCUGCUAUACUCUUAGAAUUACAUGUGUAGGUUGAUUACUUGUUUGUGCUAAGUUGCUAAAAUGUGCCAAGAACUAAAAUUGGGAAAAGGCUAUAUUUUUAAUUGGUCAAGUAGUCUAAUCACCCCCCUCUAGACAUACUUCCGAUCCUACUCUUUCUCGGCGCACAGCGGCGCCUGCCGAGUACGCCGACACCAUUGUAUUCGCCCCCGAGCUAGAUGAGAGGGGCGCCGCAGUGCCGCCUGACUAGUUCGGGCUAAACCCGAACGAUGAGGACGACUUGGCAGAGGAGAUUGCCUCCAGCGAUGAAGGCAAAGAUGAGGAGGGCGAGGAUGGCGAAGACGACGUGCCGGAAGACGGAGCGGACGGCCAACCUCAGCCUGAUCGAGCCUCAAGUAACGAGCCGUGUGCGACUGCUGCUGACGCUGACCAGCGGAGACUCUCCAGUCGGCCACUGCACCAGCCGGCGCCGCCGCCUCCACCAACCUGCCGGACCUGCCUGCUGCUCUUAUGGCCUAGGCGGCCAGUUUUAUCUUAUUUCUUCCUGCCUUUGUAAUCUUUCAAACAAGCUUGUUAAAUUCGCGUAGUUCCACUUGCGGGGUGUAUUCAAACUUUGUUGAAUUCUGACUGUGAGCCUUUCUAUGUAAAUUAAUUCUCACACAAACGUGUGCUUUGCCAGGUUCUACACUGCCUUGCUUCUCUGUUCUAUUUUGGCUUUUUUCCUUUGCCGUCUUCCCUUUGGCUGCCGCCCUGCUAGCCGGACAGCCGCUCCGCGGUUUGUGCCUGGGUCAUGGACUUGGAAGUUUUUUAGGAUAGACAAGUACUUUGGCUGCCUAGAACAUAGCAAGUCAAGUGAGAAGCCGGCCGGCCGGCUGCUCAGCAGCCGGGCGGUGAGGUAAGAAGCCAGCUUGUCCUAUGCCUAUUUUUUUCCUUAGUCAUUUUUCAUGUGGACAUCUUAUCCCGGCUUUAGCUCUUGCCAGCCGGACAGUCGCUCUGCGAGCUGUGGCUUAUGGAAAGAGAGGGCUUAGAUGUCGGCACACUAUUUGUCCGACAGCAGGUCUUAUUGGCAUAGGACAAGGCGGCGAGCCCCCGGGCUGACUAGUCGGACCCGGUGCCAGGCGGAAGGAAGAAAAGAAUAAUGCAUUCAUAGGAAUAAUCUUAUCAUAUAGAUAAAAGGGUAGCCCCUGAGGGCUCCUCGAGGGACCCGAUGUAUUUGCUCUUAAUACAAAAGGUAGUGUGGUACAUAUUGCAAUAACUGUAAAAUCUUUGAAGGAGAUUUGCAUUCCAUGGGCACUCCGUCUCCUUGCUGGAAUAGUCCCUCUUGCACGUCCUAGGCUUCUAUCCGUCUAUGAGGUAGUAGGAGUCGUUUCCCAAAGCUUUGCUGAUGACAAAAUGGCCCUCCCACGGGGCCGAGAGCUUGUGCGGGCCGACUAUUCGCUGGAUCAGUCGGGCACAUGGUCUCCCUCUAGGAAAGAUCGAGGCCUGACCUUCUGGCUAUGGUAGCGGCACAGGCCCUGCUGGGAGAUGGCGGACUGACUGAGUGCUAGCAGUCGACCCUCUUCCAAUAGGCCGACCCCAUCUUCUCAUGCUUCCUUUGCUUUUGCCUCCGUGUAAAUGGUAACGCGAGGCGAGUCAAACUCGAUGUUAGUUGGGAUGACGGCCUCGGCCCCGUACCCAAGGAAGAAAGGAGUGAAGCCGGUUGAUUUGUUUGGCAUGGUCCGGAGACUCCAAAGUAUGGCCGGCAGCUCGUCGAUCCAGCAGGCGGCCGAGCACUGUAGUGGCUCGACAAGUCGGGGCUUGAUGCCGGACUAGAUGAUACCGUUUGCUCGCUUGACUUGGCUGUUUGACUGCGGAUGGGCAACAAACGCUAAGUCGAGUCAGAUGCCCUGUGUCACGCAGAAACGGGCCAAGGCACCUUUGGCAAAGUUUGUGCAGUUGUCGGUGAUGAUGCUGUGCGAUAUUCCGUACCGGGCGGUGAUAUCCAUGAUAAAGGUCACAGCAGUCAGACCAUUCAGUUUCUUCAUUGGCUUUGCCUCAAUCCACUUGGUGAAUUUGUCUAUAGUGACCAGCAGAUGAGUCAUGCCGCCUCGUGCUGUCUUGAAUGGGCCCACCAUAUCCAGCCCCCAUUCGGCGAAAGGCCAAGUGAGGGGGAUGGCCUUGAGUGCAGAAGCCGACAGGUGUUACUUAGAGCUGAAACAUUUGCAUCCGUUGCACUUCUUGAUCAAGUCUUUAGCGUCAUCCAAAGCAGCUGGCCAGAAGAAACCAUGGCAGAAAGCUUUGGCAACAAGGGAUCUGGAGGUCACGUGGUGGCCGCACUCGCCUUGAUCAAUGUAUCUGAGGAUUGCUUUGCCCUUCUCUCGCUCGACGCAACACUGAAAAAUGCCAGUCACGCUGCACCUGACAAGCUCUCUAUUUACUAUUGUGUAUGCUACUGCCCGGCGUUGCACUUGCCGUGCCAGGAUCUCGAUGGUUGGUAGCUCGCGGCUCACCAGGAAGUUGAGGAUGGGCUGCGCCCAUGGUGGUGCUUCGACCACCGUCAUCACGGCCACUGGUACGAGGGCAGUUGGGUUGGGAGGCGGUGGGUUGGAGUCGGCCGCCGCUUGCUGUGAUGUUGAAGUCCCCGGGCCGACUACUGCAGCCCUCGGGCCGGGUUCAGAAAUCUCUGGGCCGGUUCGACUGCCGAUGUCUCCGUGCCGCCUGCCGAAGUCCCCAGGCCGCCUGCGGCAGCCCCCGAGUCGCCUGCCAAAGUCCCCGGGCCGGCUGCUGUAGCCCCGAAGUCGGAUCCGACUAUUCCGGGUGCAGCCGGUACGAAGAUGGACGCUGAUUCUGACGAAGGCUUGAUAGAUGGCUUGCGGAGGCACUGGAGGGAGACGCCAGCUGGUAUCGCUUGGCGGCUAGAGCCGAUCCGUGCCAGGGCAUCAGCUUGCUCGUUGUCGGCUCGUGGCACGUGAAGGAACUCGCACCCAUCAAAGUAUCCGCUGAUCUGCUGGACGAGGAAGCGGUAGCUCACCAUGUUUGCAUCCUUGGCAUCCCAGUCGCUAGAUGAUUGCUGGACCACCAAGUCCGAGUUGCCGUAGCACAGAAUCUGGCGGAUGCCAAUUUCCUUGGCCAGGCGGAGUCCGGGUACAAGCGACUCGUACUCGGCCACAUUAUUGGAGGCGGCAGAGUGAAUUUGCAGCGUGUAUCUGAGGUUGCAACCUUUGGGAGAAGUGAGGACAAUGCCGGCUCCCAAACCGGUUCGCAUCUUUGAGCCAUCAAAGUGCAUCCGCCAAUGAGUGGAGUCUGGAGCUGGUGGGAGAUAUUGGGUCUCGGCCCAGUCGACGAGGAAAUCGGCCAGCGCUUGGGACUUGAUGGUGGUGCAUGGCUGGUAGAAGAUGGUGUAGGGGGCCAGCUCGAUGGCCCAUUUGGCCACCUGGCCUAAUGCAUCUCUGCUGCCCAUGAUCUAGGCCAGUGGAGCAGUAUAGACGACCGUGAUGGAGUGCUCUUGGAAAUAUUGCUUGAGCUUCUUGGUGGAGAAGUACACGCCGUAGCACAUCUUCUGGUAGUGGGGUUAAUUCUGCUUUGUGGCUGACAACACCUUACUCAGGUAGUACAUAGGCCUAUGAACCGGCUAUGCUCUUCCGUCCUCUGGACGCUCUACCACAAUGACAGUGCUGACCACCCGGCUGGUGGCAGCGAUGUAGAGGGACAUGGGCUCCUUAGCAGCCGAAGCCUCCAGGACAGGCGGCAUAGCAGCAUUUUCUUGAGCUGUAGGAAGGCCUCAUCCGCCUUGUUGUUCCACUCGAAGUGAGUGGUUUUCUUCAUUAACUGGUACAGUGGAAGAGCCUUCUCACCAAGCCGGCUGAUGAAGCGGCUGAUAGACGCCAAGCAGCCGGUGAACAUCUAGACGUCACGCAGUCGGGUGGGUCUCUCAAUCCUCUCAAUGGCCUUGAUCUUCACAGGGUUGCACUCGAUGCCGCAUUCUGAGACAGGGAAGCCAAGGAGCUGACCGGCUAGGACUCCGAAGACACACUUUUCUGGGUUGAGCUUCAUUUGAAAACAACGCAUAUUGUCAAAGGUCUCCUUGACAUCUUCCAAAAAGAUACCACGGUUCUCCGUCUUCACCAUAAUGUCAUCUAUGUAGACGUGGGCAUUUCUGCCGAGUUGCUUGAGGAGGCACUUCUGCAUGCAACGCUGAAAGGUGACACCGGCAUUUCUCAAGAUGAAUGUCAUGGUCAGGUAGCAGAAGGCUCCGAAUGGUGUGAUGAAGGCAUUUCUUUAGCCAAUCGGUCGGGUUCAGCUUGAUCUGGUGGUAGCCGGAGUAGGCAUCAAGGAAAGACAGGAGCUCGCAUCCGGCUAUGGAGUCUAUCAAUUAAUCAAUCCGGGGUAGAGCAAAUGGAUCUUUGGGGCAGGCUUUGUUGAGGCUGGUGUAGUCAACGCACAUGCGCCACUUGUUAUUCUUCUUCAGCACAAGGACUGGGUUGGCAAGCCAUUCUGGAAAGAACACUUCCAUAAUGAAGCCGGCUGCUAGGAGUCGGGCUAUCUCUUCACCAACAAUUCUUCCUUUUUUCUUCUGACAGGCGGCGGAGGGGCUGCUUGACUGGUUUUGCAUCUGAUCUGACAUGUAGCUUGUGCUCGACGAAAUCCGUCAGAACACCCGGCAUGUCCUUGGGAGACCAUGCGAAGAUGUCGUAAUUCUCACGAAGAAAAUGGAUGAGCUCGCUUUCCUAUUUGUUAUCGAGGUUGGUCCCCAUGAUAGCGUGCCUCUCCGGGUGGUCGGGGUCCAAGGUGAUCUUCUUUGUUUCUUUGGCCAGCUGGAAAGAAUCCGGGGCUUCCAACUCCUUAGGGUCUGGUGACAGGUCCGGCUGCUUGCUAGCCAUGGCCUCAAGCCGGUCAAGGAGCUUCUUCUCAGCGGCAAUCAUGAGGGACUCGGCUAGCCGGCUGCUAGUAGUAGAACAGGCGGUCAACUUCUUGUAGUCGUCGGCUAUAGUGAUAAUGCCCUUGGUACCAGGCAUCUUCAUCUUGAGGUAGGCAUAGUGCGGCACCACCAUGAACUUGGCUAGAGCUGGUCGGCCUAGGAGCGUGUGGUAAGGGCUCUCUAGGUCAACCACCUCAAACCAAAUUGGCUCUCGGCGGAAGUGAUCUUUGUCUCCGAAGAGGACAUCUAUCUUGAUCAUGCCGAUUGGUGAGUAGGAAAGGCCAGGUACAAUGCCAUGGAAAACAGUCCGAAUGGGCUCGAGUUGUGUUUCUUUGAUGUGCAGUUUCUCCAUGGUGUCACGAUAGAGGAUGUUGAUGCUGCUACCGCCGUCUAUCAGGACUCGGGAGAAACGAGCAGCUCGCCUAUCUGUUGAAAAGGUGGCAUCCAACACCAUGGCAUAGGAACCCGGAGAAGGCAUCACCUCUGGGUGGUCUGCACGGCUCCAGCUGAUGGGCUUCUCGGACGAGUGCAUGCACUCUGGGCUUCAGAAGUGACAACAUUCACCUCUUGGUGUUGUUGACACCGGUUGUGCCUGUCGUCGGCCAUGCUGGUGAAGACGACAUAGGCUUCAUAUUCUUUGGGGUAUUCAUCUUGGACGGCGGCAACAGGGCGGACCUCCGGCUGUGGAGGAGGCGAAGCCGGCUGGCCGGCAGGUGAAGGCGGCAGUCCUUCACCCUUGGUGAUUCGGGUGAGCCAGUGGCUCUUCCGGGUGGUUUGGUUGGAUGGGUUCGCACCGCUGUGGAACUUGUAGGGAGCAUCGAGGGUUUUCUCAUAUGAGAAGGCGGGCAGCCAAGCAGGCUUGCCACCCUUCUGACGCUUGGGGCCGGGCUGACCCUCCGGCUGCUGGUCUUCAACUGUCGCCACUUGCUGGUUGGUGGGAGCCGGCUGCGGGGCCUUGUGCUUGUUGUCAUUCUAUUGCUGUCGCCAACUGUUAUCACCAGUCGGCGUGUGAGGAGUCGGAGGGAGCACUUUCCUAGACGCGUCCACUCAGAGCUCUGAUUUCAUGGAGAAGUUGGCAAUGGCGUACUUGUCUGCUAUGAUCAGCAAUUCGUCGAAUGUAGUCGGCUCGUCGAGAGGAGUCGAUGUUUGAGUAGUAUGUCCUCCCGGCACCCGGCAGUGAAGUAUUCUAUGGCUUGCACCUCGUGCACCCCCUCGCAGGAGUUGUGCACUUUGGCCCACCGCGUCAGGUACUCGUGGGUGGACUCGGUCGGGCCUUGCACGCACAGAUAGAGCUGGCGAGGUUUGGACGGUCGCUUGCAAGUGCUGGUGAAGUUGCGGAUGAAGACUUCAGUGAAGUCCAGCCAGCUGCUGACGUUGUAGGGCUUGAGGCUGUUCAGCCAUGUCCAGGCCAUGCCCUGGAGCAUUAGCGGAACGUACUUCAUGGCAACGCGCUUGUUGCAGUUUGCUAUGUUGACAGCGGUGGAGUAGUCAACCAACCAAUCUUCCGGCUUCACGGAGCCGUUGUACUUGGGCGAAUCUUAGGGGAGCAAGAACCCUUUGGGGAAGGGCUCGUCGCGAAUGCGGGGGCCGAAAUAGGGCGGGCCAAUUGCAACUUCUUCUUCUACCACCAGGGAUCGAGCCAGUUGGUCGAUCCGAUGGAGGGCUUCGUUUUCUCUGACUCCUUCAUGGGGGCCUAGCCGGCCUCCGAGAGUCGGGUGCUCAAAAGCCACUGGGGAGACGCACCUCUCCCUGCGCGAGGGAGGCGGACGAUCGCCCCGCUGUUUGACUGCUCGAGGGCAGCCAUCUUGGUCGCGCUCGAUGGUGACGCGAGUCCGGCUGCGACUAGCAGCCGGCUCGGGGUCUCUUCAGUCGCCAGGCGCCGGCUGUUGGCAUCUAGGAAGUCGCGUCGUGUUCUCGGCAGGGGGGGAGGUUCUCGGCAUGGAGGCCGGGUUCUGCCAUGCGGCGGUCAGCUUCUUGCUAUGCGGCCGCAUCGAGGAGCUGCUGUACGCACUCCGUCAUGCAGCAUCGCUCGUCACCCUCCAGGUGAUCCAGCUCAUCUUCUGCCGCCUGGGUAGCAAGCAAGUUCUCCAAAGACAUGGCGUAGAUGGGGUGGUCGGCUCCCAUCAUGCCGGCGAUGGCCGCACCACACUACCGAACGAUGCCCAGCCGGCUUGGCCCGCCAGCAGCUGGCAUGCCACAAACAACGCGGUCGAUCUCGCGCUGCUAGGCUUCGCUGAGGCGCCUCAUGGCUGCCAGGUUCUGGGCGCUUUCGAGGAGCGAGACGCGGAAAGCCUCCAAUGUUGUUCUGUCUACGUUCCUUUCAACGGGUGCGGAUAAGCCCCGCACUACCGCCUGCAGCUGGUCGCGAGCAGCCCCAGCAGGGGCUCCAUUGUGGCCGAUGACCAACACCUCCGUGACGGUGCUGGUGCUGGCAUUGCUGAGCGCGGGAGGGAGUGGGUCGUCGAUGAUCACCAUGUUGGCGGGGAAGGAAUCGGGGGACGCCACGUCGAAGUCGACGAGCAUCGGGUCGGUGGAGCCAACAGACUCUAUGUCGAAGGUGGGCUCAUUGGUGAUGACGAUCUUGCCAAGGAGGUCGACGAUGCAGCUUUCGGAGCGGGUUGCUUCUAUGUCGGGUGGAGGCUCGUCGGAAAGACGGAUCCCGCCAACGAGGUCAGUGAGAUUACUCGCGGCCCAAGUGGCUUCUGCGCCGUGUAGCAUGUCGAUGCACACGCCAUCCGGCGUGCCGGACUGGCUGCGUUCGCUGGGAAGGAAAAGGGUUCCCGUCCAGAACGUGUUUCCGGACAACGGUGCACCUAGCCCCAUGGUGGGCACCAAAUGUCAGGGUUGUGAUGCGACAUAUGCCAAAGGAUGGCUAAUCAUGGAGAGGGACAGGUGUACGUCGCCGGGCUCUAGAAGCGGGAGUGAGUGAGAUCGCAUACGCCUGCGGAUCUUACCAGGUUCGGGGCUCUCCAAGAGAUAACACCCCUAGUCCUGCUCUGCAGGGUCUCCGCAUGAUCACUAUCUCAACAAUGGUAGCUACAAGAUUUCUCCUUGAGCUGUUUAGCCUGAGGAGGAAGAAGAACAAGGCUAGCCCUACUUCCCCUCUCUAUGUGUGUGUGUCUUGAGGUUCUGAACCAUUUCCAUGGGUGGCCUGGGGGUUUAUAUAGGCCUAACCCCAGGGGUACAAUGGUAAUCCGGCCAGAUGUACGACCUAGCCGUCAGUCUCUCUAAACACCGGAUUCUCCGCCGGCUGUUGGGGCUUGUCGCUUGGUGGGUCCCGCCGGCCGUCGUGUACUCAGACAAUAGGCCGCGCCCACCUUUUGCGGGUCUGGUUGAUCAUUUCAAACUAUAGCCUCGCUACUGAUGAUGGAUACUUUAUCGGGGGAAGCAUGGCUAUAGUACCGCUGCCUGAUGGGCGUUCACUAUUGCCACUCCUCGUGUCCUCUGGUUAAGGACGCACGGACUUCGAGGGGGGAGGAGGCCACCUGCUGGGAGGCGGCCUACCCCCGUUGCCUCCUUCUAGGGCUCGCCGACAUUUAGGGCACGCCGCCUACAUGCCAUACCAACAGGCCAUCAUGGGAGCAUAGCUCCCUAGGUGACAGGUGAUGUCAUGGGCAGCGUGGCUACAGCACCCCACCGGGUGGGGGGGCGUCCGCCAGGUACGACCGUACAGUAGCCGCACUCAGCCCAGGAUUUGGGGUGGCAGGUUGCACUAUAGCCACACCCCGUCCCGUCAUAGUUAUGUGGGUGCAAACUUUAAGGGCACGAGGGGCCGCCUGUUAGAAGCCGACCGCCUCAUAGUUGCCUUAUGGUAUCCUACUGCCUUCUAGCAGCCGGCUGCUUCGACCAGUCGGCUUAAGGGAAUAGUCGUUUGUUCGGGAGGUGUGAGGGGCGUAGUCGGCCCUGAUGUCUUGAAAUACCAAGGGGGGCUGACGAGGCUACUAGUGGUAAUUUACUCUGACAAGCACCGAGGGCUUGACGGUACAUGGUUCUACCAUUACCGGCGGGCUGGUGAGGUACUUCUUGAGGUCUUGGAACGCCGCGUCAGCCUCCAGAGUCCACUCGAAUGGUCCUUUUUUCUUCAUCAGCUUGAAGAAUGGGAGGGCGUGUUUCCCCAGCUUGGAGAUGAAGCGCCCCAGCGAGGUCACUCAUCCCACCAGCUUCUGCAUCUCCAUGAGGGUUUGUGGUGGGCUCAUCCUUUCUAUCGCCUUGACUUUCUCCGGGUUGGCCUCGAUCCCCCUGUGCGACACCAGGAAGCCCAGUAGCUUGCCGAAGGGGACACCAAACACACAUUUCUCUAGAUUGAGACACAGAUCCACCUUGUGCAGGUUGGCAAAGGUCCCUUCCCGGUCUUCAAUAAGGGUCCUUUCCUCCCGAGACUUCACCACUAUGUUGUCGACAUUGGCCUCAGUGUUCCUUUGAGAUGCUGGCCCAGAGCGAUGUGCAUCAACCGCUGGAAGGUUACUCUAGUGUUGCGCAGCCCAAACGACAUGUAGGUGUAGCAAUACACCCUGCACGGGGUCAAGAAAGCUGUCUUCUCAACAUCCUGCACUGCAAUCUUGAUUUGGUGGUAGCCCGAGAAUGCGUCCAGAAAACACAACAGGUCGCACUCGGCGGUGGAGUCGAUGAUUUGAUCAAUGCGUGGAAGCAGGAAGGGGUCUUGAGGGCCAGCCUUGUCGAGGUUGGUGAAAUCGAUGCACAUACGCUCCUUCCCGCCUUUAUUGGGGACAAUAACCGGGUUUUCCAGCCACUCUGGGUACCGCACAUCCCUCUUGCAGCAUGCGGGGUUCUUGGAUGAUGAACGACUGCUUCUCUGCAGACUGCCGUCGCGCCUUCUGCUUCACCGGACGUACAUUGGGGCACACCCUCAAGUGAUGCUCGAUUACCCCCUCGGGAUUCCAACUAGGUCCUUAGGCUCCCAUGCAAACACAUCCUUGUUCGUGCGCAAGAAGCUGACCAACGCCUCCUCUUGAUCUGGAGGGAUGCCGGCUCCUAUGGUGAAGGUGGCGCCUGAUGCCCCGUCCUCGUCGACCAGCUCCUUCUUCGUCUCAACACGAUCUUGAGAGAACUACUAUUUCUUCUUUGUCGGGGCUCCUUCCUCACCGGGCCGCGUGGCUGCCGCGGCCCUGAAGGCUAGCUUGAGGGCCAACAAUGCUUUCUUUUUGUCCCCCGCGACAGUGAGGACGCUGCUGCUUCCCGGCAUCUUCAUAAGGUUGUAGGUAGGAUGAGUUGCUACCAUGAACUUGGCCAAGGCAGGGUACCCAAGGAUAGCGUUGUAUGGGAGGCAGAUGCGGGCGAUGUCGAAGUCGAUUAGCUCAGUGCGGUAGUUGUCGCGGGUGCCGAAGGUGAUAGGGAGGCGGAUCUGCCCUAGGGGGCAGGUGGAGCCGUCGAAGACUCCGGAGAAGGGCUUGGUGGGCGCAGACGGCCAUGGGGCACGUGAAGCAAGCCGAAUGCUUCCAUCGAGAGCACAUUGAGGCUGACUCCACUGUCGAUAAGGGUCUUGGUGACCGCUACAUUGCAUAUGGUGUGAGUGCAGAGCAUCGGGAGCGCGCCAGCUCCGCGGUGAUCGCGGGGUGGUCCCUCGAGUCGAAGGUGAGGUCGGCCUUAGGCAUUGCCCAGCCUGGAGGCUCCCUACUAUACGUGAGCGGUGCCCACCUGGCGGAAAAACUGCUUGACGUGGCGGCCCAAGGGUGGCUCCUACGAACGACCGAGGAGGUCUAUGAUGGUGUGGGGCACCGGCGCCGUGAAGCGCGCGAUGAAGAGGAUGCACAACUUCUCCGAGGAGGCUAUAGGAGACCCUGGCAAGCUAAGCAGUCAGGCGCGUGGCGCACCUGUGAGAGCCAUGGGAAGCAAGUUGGCCAUGACCUUGCCGUCGCCGCCGGCUGCCAACACGGCUUCCUCGUACGCUUGGAGAAAACCUGCCGGGUCCGCCGUGCUGUCAUAUCGGGGCGACAGCUCCGACCUAAAUUUGGGUGGCCACUGCACCCACCGCAUGGCCGGGGGUGAAAGCUCGGAGGCCCUCAGCUCCUCCGUGAGUGUGCGUCGGCCUGGUCGGUGGAGCAGCGUCUGCCAUGGGAGCCGAACAGCGAAACACAAUGGGUGGAGAGGCAGAUCUUCGAUGCACCCCUACCCGGCGUGCCAAAUGUCGAAUUUCGGGUUCCGUAGACCCUUGAGAGGUUCGAACUCUAGGGUGCGUGCGAAGAACUCAACCUCCCCAGUCUACCUACUCGCCAAUCUCUUGGCCUAGCUUGAUGAACAGGAGGGAAAUGAGACACAACAGUUUACCCAGGUUUGGGCCAACUUGUGGUGUAAAACCCUACUCCUGCUUUGUGGUGGAUUGGCCUCGAGGGGCCGAGGAUGAACUAGUAAAGUGGGGGAACAACCUCAAGAGGAGGAGUGUUCUUACACUCGAGUGAGCUGGUGACUAUGAGGAUGGAAUGGAUAUCCCCUUUCUAUGGUGGUGGCUAAGUCCAGUUUAUAGUGGCCUUGGUCCUCUUCCCAAAAUGAAGGUGGGAAGGGAUCCCACAACGGCCAAAUUUGAAGGGAGACAACUAGUACAUGCUAUCCUGACAAAAGUAGUCUUCGCUCGCAAAAGCCUCUAGUCGUGAUGUUGUGGUGGGCUCGGCGAUGACCGAUGACCUCCAUCCUGCCAUCCUGGUGGUCUUGGUCUUGUUGCACCAGAAUGGAAACCUUCGGCUGAUUCCUCGGGACUCCGCACCUGCGCUUGCCUCCUUAGCACCAAAGAGGAAACUGGUACACUGCACCCGCUGGCACCCUCCUGGCCUUGGUCUUCAUGCCUCACGUCAUCCGAGCCUCACGAGGUGAAGCCCGCAUAGAAAUCUCUGCUCCUCGGGAGGCAGCGUGAGGAGGCCGCUCCUUGUGGAGGUCUUGGUGUCGUCCGCCUCGCGAGGCUUGGCCCCUAGCGAGGGUUUUGAGUUGUCGAUGCUGAAGCUGGGCCGUACCGGGCCAUUGAUGAAGCCACACCGUGGGCCAUAGGCAGGCAAGUCUGGGUACCCCCAUUAUCAGAACGUCGACGGCCUCUAUAGGGCCUGGCAGGCCUGCCGGGACGGUCUUAAGGUUUGCUUCUGGGUAACCUUGACCUUGCCAGGCUCGCCUGCCUGGCAAGGGAGGUCUUCCCUUAGUGGUGUCUUGCACUUUUGGCUUGACUUGGUCUUCUUCAUCUGCACUCUAAUUCUUCAAAGAGCUGAGCACUUCUGCUUGGUCUGGUUGUAAUCUUGAUCUUAGGCAUGUGCAUGGUCUAGGAAACAGACCCAGGGUUUGUUGCACCAAUAGGAGCCCCCGCGCCUGGCCCGAACACGCUGCCAGGUGGUGUCGGGGUAGGCCCUAACCAGUGCACAUGCAAGAGGAUAACCGUUGCUUGUCCCUUCAGAUCUUCUUUCCCGUGCAUCGUGUAACGCCAGCUGUAGUGGGGCCACCUUUGCAAUGGCCCGUGAUUGACUUUAACGCAAGGGUGAGUAAAUGCCAAUUCACUCUUCCCACCAUGCUCUUAUCCUUGGCCACGUAUGCUGCAUGCAUCGAGUGGGGUAGGUAAAGGAGACACGUGGUGUGGAAGAGCAUCAAGGUGGGGGCCCAGUCUUCAAGGAUUGGUGGAGGAGGGCGGCGGUUACCCGCCGAGGGCUCGGCUCCAACCCCAGCCCUUCUAUAAAAGAAGGGGCGGGGGAGGAGUGGGAGUAUUCAUCCACGCACCCCUCCUCCUCCAUUCUCAUCUUUCUUCUGGUUAUGAUGAAAGGGAGAGCCCGGGGCCAACCCCCAGGCCCUAGCUUGGGUUUGGUGAUGUCAAACUUUCGUGCCAACGCUUGGGGAGUGAUUCUGGUCUGGGCCUCGGGAAGACGUGGCGGGCAAGUCGCUCAUAGUGCAGGAGAUAUCAAGCUUCCCAUUGUGGUGGAAUGUUUGUCUCCUCCGCUCGGGCCGGGCGUCUAGUGAGGAGUGCUGGAGCUUGUUGUGAGCUGUUGCGGCUUGGUGCUCCAGUGCCAGAGCCCCUAGAGUUUCCGAUGCCCGUCUGGGGUGUAGUCCUCGGGGUUCGUGGUAAUCCCUGUACUGCUCCCUUUGGUGACAUUGGGGAGAUAGUUGAAGACGGCGGCAUCUCACUGCCGCCCAAGGUGGGGAGCGAUGCCCCUCACGUGACUCAGACGCCGUCAUCGCUUGCUACCUCUCUAGGGGAGGUGACGGCCCGAGGGCCGGCGUCCUCCUGGAGCGGUGGUGAUGAAGAAAGAACUAGGGAAGAUGAAUAAGGAGGGUGGCAGGGCAUCAGGUUGGAGUACAAUGGCAUUGACGCCUUCAUCUCUUAUUGGUGACCUGUCGCCUCAUCUUUCCGCUCUUCACCUCCCUCCCCGGCACCAUCAUCACCGGGCUCCGGGUUGCCGGGGAGGGGCCGCUCUCUUGGUGCCUUCGCCUCCUCCAGCAGUCUUCCAGCUGACUUCGGCGAAUCUCCCCGCCUGUGCUCGCGCUGGGGCUUUCGCUGGUCCUGGAGGUGGUGACCAGGGAAGCACCAAGCUGCUCCUUCCGCCCCUCUUCUUCACAGCCUCACCACUCCCGAUCUUGUCAGGCUGUGCCCGGUAAGCUCCUGACAGGAUCGGGUCGGGCCUCUCCUUAGGCACUCCUUUGCCAUCUUAUCUUCCCACUGCAAUACAUGAGGGGAGGAAUGAGAAAGGGGGACUACGGGGCACUUACCUUUUUUGAAUCUAAAAUGUGUAGGAACUUGCGAAACUUUAGUUCAACUUAUGUAAUCUCUUUUAUCCAUGUUUGUGUUAUGUACGGUCUGUAAUUGUUGAUCAGCAUAAUAAUGAAAAAGAUAAACCUUGUCGGGCACUUGUGCAUGUAACAUGUCCAUGCAGAGGUAGAAUGCCUCUAUACACUCAAGUAAAUAAGUUUUCCCUGGCAGGCUAUCCUGCUGGUACCCUCAGUUUGCUAUUGCGGAGCUAGGCCUGCCGGGCACAAAUCGUAAAGAGGGACCAGCCCCCACCAAACCUUCUCACAAAAGGCCACUACAACCAUCCCGACCAAAGCGACGUUCGAGUCAAGGGACGGGAGCACCUAAGUUUCAAAAGUGGUGAGGUUUUCUUAUGCACAAGUUUUUGCUUACAAAACACGUAUGAAUAAGAGAGAGAGAGAGAGAGAGAGAGAGAGAGAGAGAGCUUAUCUGUUUGGGCUUGUCGGGGAUCGCAAUGUAGGCUUGUCUUCUCUUCUCCUCUUUGGGACCGAAUCCACGGUAGGAGCCUUCAAUCUGGUGCAAAUGAAAAUGAUACCUCAUGCGAUCUAAUAUACAUGAACAUGCUAUGCUCAUGAUAUGCUUAUGCAUGCAAUUUGUUGGGGGGGGGGGGCAGUGCUUCAUUUAUUUCUCUGUUGCUCAGGGUGUACGUCUGGCUUUGUACAAGGGGUUACAUGCAACAGAGGUAAGACAACUACAGAAGGGUGGCUGCCCGGCAGGGCCAGACAGCCGCGCCUUACGGGUAGAACUUGCAAAGAUGCUCAAUGUUCCAUGAGUUUUGCAACUAAUUGCCAUCUCCGGUCUCCGCAUGGAUUGCGCUAGGUCAGGUGACUCGUACUACCCAGUAAGGGCCUUCCCACUUUGGCGUCAACUUGUUUGUACCCUUGGCGGACUGAACGCGCCUAAGGACAAGGUCGCCUUCCUCAUAACUCUGGGCACGAACCUUGCGGCUGUGAUAGCGAUGCAAUGCUUCCUUGUAGCAUGCAGCACGCGUAGCAGCCUGGAGAUGGUUCUCCUUGAGUAGCACAGCGUCGUCACACCGGUGAAGUUCCUGCGCUACUUCAUCAUAGGCAAGCACUCGAGGUGACCCGUAAAAAAGUUCUGUAGGGAUAACUGCUUCUGCCCCAUAGGCUAGGGAGAAGGGAGACUGGCCGAUAGCUCGAUUUGGUGUCAUUCUGAGGGACCAAAGAACAUCCGACAGCUUGUCAAUCCACUGCCUGCCACACUUCUGCAGCUUAUCAAAUGUUCUCGUCUUGAGUCCUCGCAACACUUCAGUGUUCGCCCUCUCAGCUUGCCCGUUGCACCUUGGAUGAGCAAUACAGGUGAAUGAGAUCUUGCUUCCGAGGGCAUGAAUGUAUUGCAUGAAGGCAUGGCUCGUGAGUUGGGUGCCAUUAUCGGUGAUAAUUCGAGCAGGAACUCCGAAGCGGCACACCAAUCCUUUCAAUAACUUGAUAGUUGACUUAGUAGUCACCUUUCUCACGGGCUCUUCUUCUGGCCACUUUGUAAACAUGUAGAUUGCAACAAACAAGGAUUCAAAGCCCCCGGUAUCAUGGGGGAAAGGGCCCGAGAUGUCGAGCCCCCUGACAGAAAACGACCAUGACAAAGGGAUUAUCUCAAGAGCUCAGGCAGGCAGGUGGAUAUUCUUGGGAUGGAACUGGCGGGCUUCACAUUUGGUGACCAACUCAACUGCAUCUUGAAGGGCUGUGGGCAGUAAAAUCCUUGCCGGAAGGCUUUCCCAACCAGAGGCCUCGAUCCAAUGUGUGAGCCGCACAUACCAUUGUGUAUCUAUUCCAGCAAUUCCUUUCCUUCUUCCCAGCAAAUGCACUUCAAUUUCAUAGCAUUGGGCCUCCUUCUGUACAGCAUGUCAUCCACGAACUAAUACAUACUAGCCCUCUGGGAUGUUCUCCAGUUUGGAGGAAAUGGACUAUGUGCCGCGCCCAAGUUGGAGCCUGAGGAUCAACAAUGAGGACUAGCGGCACCUUCUCAUUCGCGGGAGCGCAUUCCUUGACCAUGGGGACCGGUGGUCUGGCGGGAGGAUGUAGCUCAGCGACCGAAGGGGACUUGUUCUCGACAAGCUCUCUGUCGGGAGCCUCGAGAGGUUCUACCGGGAGAGGCCUGCCGGAGUCCAGUUUCCUCCUCUCUCUGGCCAUUGUUGCCGGGGAUACGGAGGGCUGAGUCAGAUGGAGAACAAAAGUUCCUUCUUCCACAGGGAGCUUUUGCGCAGCGCACUUGAACAGAUGAUCAGCAAUGUUGCUUUCUGCAUGGGGUAUGUGCUUUGUUUGCAAUCUGUCAAAGCGCUCUCUCACUUUCUUACUUCCUCAACGUAUGCCUCCAUCAAUGGACUUUGGUAAUCCUUGUUGAGUUGUCUCACCACAAGUUGUGAGUCUCCAUGGAUGAUCAACUUCUUGAUCCCAGUUCUAUUGCAAUCCUGAGCCCGACAAGGAGCCCUUCGUACUCUAUAGUAUUGUUUGUAGCCUUCUCCCAGGGAAAAUGCAUCUGGACGACGUACUUCAGGUCUUCCCCAAUGGGAGCAAUGAGAAGCACGCCAGCCCCUGCACCUUGUACGGAGAAGGCACCGUCGAAAUACAUGAUCCAUUCUUGUGGCACUUCCUUACCGGGAAUAACUGUCUCCAAUACUUCUUCAUCAGGAGUUGGCGUCCAUUCUACAAUAAACUCUGCCAAUGCUCUGCUCUAAAUAGUUGAUGUGCUCUCAAACUUCAAACCGAAGGUGGAUAACUCCAACGCCCACUCCACUAUCUUGCCGGUAGCCUCAGGGUUUCGAAGUAUACGUUGCAAAGGAAAAUGGGUCACAACCGUGAUCUUGUGGGAUUGGAAGUAGAGGAACAGUUUCCUUGAGUCCAUGACAAGAACAAAAAUCAACUUUUGCACGCCAGAGUACCUAGAUCUAGCCCCUUGCAAUAGGGAGCUGACAAAGUACACUGGGCACUGCACCACCUUCUUCUUUGCCACAACCUUGGGGCUGCCUUCGCUGCCUUGCCCUUCUCUGUCUUGAUCUGUAUCUGAACUUGCUGGGUGUGCUCGCUUUCCUCUUCGGAGGGGACACUUGUUGUGGCUGCCACUUCAUCCACUUCCUAAUGUGCCACCAGUGCUGUGCUAACCACUUGAUUAGUUGCCACUAAGUACAACAGCAAUGGCUCUUGUGGUUUGGGAGCGAUGAAAGUGGGCACAGAGGACAGGUAGGCCUUCAAAUCUUGUAGUGUAGCAUCUACCUCUAGAGUCCACUCCAUAGGUCCUGCCUUCUUCAAGAUUUUGAAGAACGGCAAGGCAUGCUCGGCAGACUUGGAAAUGAAUCUGCCUGAGCAUGACAAAACAUCUAGUCAAACGCCUUACGCCAUUAACUGUCUUGGGUGCUUGAAUCUGCUCGAUAGCAUUGAUCUUGUCGGGGUUGGCCUCUAUCCCUCGGUGAGACACAAAGAAGCCAAGUAGCUUGCCGGAAGGAACGCCAAACACACACUUCUCCAAGUUUAGCUUCGAGUUGAUCUUGCACAGAUUAGCAAAUGUCUCCUCUAAAUCCUGAAUGAGGGUUGCUAUCUCCUUGGUAUUGACCACAAUACCAUCCAUGUAAGCUUCAAUGUUUCUGUGCAACUGUGACUCAAAACCAAUCAGGACUGCCCUUACAAAAGUGGAUCCGGCGCUCUUCAACCCGAAAGGCAUCCGUACGAAGUAGUAUGUGCCACAUGGGGUGAUGAACGCGGUUCUCUCUUUGUCUUCCUUGGACACUGGAGCAAGUCACACCCAUAGCUUGAAUCCACAAUCCGGUCAAUGCGCGACAAGGGGAAUGGGUCCUUCAGGCAUGCCUUGUUCAGAUCCGUAAAAUCUAUGCAAAACCUCAAUUUCCCAUUAGCCUUGCGUACUACACAUGAUUUGCUAACCAUGCUGGGUGUAGUACUCCUCUGACCAGACUAGAUGCCUCAAGUUUCUUGUUCUCGCCGACAAUGAACUACUGCUGCUCCAAGGCUUGCUUUUGGGCCUUCUGCUUGAUGGCCGGGCAUGUGGGCAGACAGCAAGGUAGUGCUCGAUUACCUUACUCGGAACACCGGGGAAAUCGAAUGGUUGCCGGGAAAACACAUCGACAUUCGCCCACAGGAAGGCAAUGAUCGUGCUUUCCUAUUUGUCAUCAAGGGUGGCACUGAUAGUGAAGGUACCAUCAGCGCCAGUCAGCUGUGUCGGGACAUUUUUCAUAGCGGGCGCAAUAGCCUUGGAUCUCUUACUAUUGGAAUUCUCUGGCAAGUCAUCAACAGGCAUAGCGUACUCCGAAGAGGUACGCUUCCCGGAUUCCUCCGAAGAGGUACUCCGAAGGCAUCCCUGUUAGCUUUCUUCUUUCAUUUACUUUCCUUGGCAAGAACAACGGCUUCUACUGCCUUUGCCAUGACUACUUCCCGGUACAUCUUGUCCAUGCAAAUGAUUGCGUCCUUCUCAUCUGAUGGAAUGGAAAUGACGCCUAUCGGCCCUGGCAUCUUCAAGGUGUUGUAGGCAUAGUGGGAUGCCGCCAUGAAUUGGCCAGAGCUGGGCGACCAAGGAUUCCAUUGUAUAGUAGGGGGAGGUCGACGAGAUCAAACACAAUCUUCUUAGUCCGAUAAUUCAACUCUCCUCCGAAUGUCACCGGCAACGUGACGUUCCCCUUAGGACGACUCCUGUCGGGAUUUAAACGUACCACUAACUUUGAGCUCUUCCUCUGCUAUCUGAAGUUUGCUGAUGACCUUUGGAGAUAUCAGAUUCAACCCAGCCCCGCCAUCAAUCAACAUCUUUGCGGAUUGUUGAUGAUCCCAACAACGGCAAGCACCCUACCGCAGUGGUGCGGUCAGGGUGGUCCUCUUCGUCGAAGAUGAUGGACGUGCGGGACCACUUGAGCGUCCUCCAAGAAUUUGCCGCUAACUCCACGACAUUGACUUCACGCACCCACUGUUUAAGUUGGCGGAGAGAGGAAUGCAGAGGUGCACCCCCGUCAAUGCACAUGGCGUCAAUGGCUUUCUGGAAUUCCUGCUUGCUGGUUUCCUCUUCAUCCCCUCCAUCACUCUCAUCAUUGCAAUCCUCCUUCUCAUGGCCUCUGGUGGGUUUUCCUUGAUUUUGAGCAGCCUUGUCAGGGCGGCUUGCUCCGCUGCCUGGGCCCUUCCCACCAGUGCCAUUCUGACCUUUUUCCUUAUCACGCUUCUCAUAUUUAGCCCUUUGCUUUUGGACGAGCUGCUCAACCUGAUGACACUCCUAGAGAUCGUGGCCCUUGGUCCGAUGGAUCUUGCAGUAUAGCCCGUCACCUUUCCCAGCCUUCUCGAUAGCUGCGGCUUCCUGGCAGUCAGUGCACGCAUCAACUUCCUUGCUGGGUACCUCAGUCUUGGCCUUCUUGCGGGUACUAGGCGUGCCCUAUCCCUCAAUGGUUAUCACUGCCUUAUCCUUGCACCUUUUAUUGCACUUCUUGUUCUUUUUCUUUUGACUGGUGGCAUCGUCAUCAUCCUCUGAGUCGAUGUCAACGCCAUUGUCGGUUCUGUAUCCAGCAUAUCUCGUAGUAGGGGUCCUAAGCUAGGCGUCUUGGAGAGAUGGUAACAUGGACACGAGAUUUUACCCAGAUUCGUGCCCUCUUGAUGGAGAUAAAACCCUAUGUCCUGCUUUUGAUUGUAUUCAUAUGUGGUGUAGUACAGAGUACAUGUAUCUACCAGGAGAUAUUUCUAAUGAAUAUUAGAUUAUCUGUUGACUAGCCUGGCCUCGGUUUAUAUAACACACCGGAGGCCUAGGGUUUAGAGGAGUCCUUUUGUUGGGUGCCAAGUCUUGUGGAAUCCUCCUUGUAUGCGGCAUGGGCUGCCCGAAGUGGCCCAUAAGUGAACCACCAUGGGGGUCCUCGGCCCAAUCCAGCUGGUCAGGAGAUGAUGUGGUGAGUACCCCCUCGUCCAGGACACCAUCAGUAGCCCUAUGAACUGGUCUUCAAGUUGGGGAUGCUCCUUGAUUCUUCUGAACUAUUCUUCAUCUUCGGUCGUCGGUCUUGAAAAUUGGCUCAAUAAAUCUUCUCAUCUUCGAUCUUGAGGAUCGCCGAAGUGAAUCCGAAGAGUUCACACGUCGGGUACCCGAGGAGCCCCUUUGAGUUUUCUGCCUUUAGCAAUGCCUUUUUAUUUUUUAUGCCAGACCUUGGGUUUGAAGUUGUUCCCGUGCGGCGGUGUCCUCUUGCCUCCGAGGUCCAAGGCCGUACUGCAUCCAAGGUAUCCUUUGCAGCCAAACACCAACGCCAAACCGCUUCUGAGCUCCAACGCUGGAAUGUAUCCAAGCUCCAACGCCGGACUAUAUCCGAAGUGUCAUAGAUUACCUCGUGUUUAAAAAAGUUUGAAGGAGGUUACCCGAGCUUAACGCUGAAAAAGUUCUCUAUGGAGCCAGCCGCUCGCAGAAGUUUUAUGACGGACUGCUUCCGAGGUGAUGUACCACCUCGGGCUUGGGCUGAUUGUUUGCGGAUUUUAUUUCCAAUUGAUGCAAUUUAUUUACUGAUGAGAUAUAUAGCCAGUAGCCCUCAAGGUGUCUGUCGGCCUAAAAUCCGAGAUGCACAUUAGAGGAGAUAGUGAUCGGCGGACAGGCCCUCAAGAGAGGGUUUUGAGAAGUCGCUGUAAUAUAUUAGCUUCAUGUCGGAUAAAUCCCAGAUGGUACCUAUUGUUGUCCGAAGAGCGUUUGCCCAUAGUUCAGUCAAGCCAAACACUAAGCACUUUGAAUUUUUUGUAUUGAAUAGGUAAUGCAGUAGCCCCCGAGACACUGGUUGGGUGGAAACACCAUAUCAUGGGAUCAAUGUGCCCCUUUAAUAUUAGUAAAUUAUAAGCCUGAAGCCUAGUAGCCCCCGAGCCUUAAUGUGGGCACGGGUGACCGAAUUAAGGAUCGAUAUCUGGAGUAAAAUUACAAAUUAUGUGUAAUGAUUCUACGUAUCCAAGUACUCUACAUUAUUAAUGGUCGGAUCCGCAUUGUACAGAAAUUUGAUGACUGACCAUCGGCUUCAACCUCCUCGACCAGUAGCCGGGGAGUGUUUGUCCUACAUUAUAGAGCCUUUAUAAGGGCAAAGAUUUAUGACAAACAAGGCAAUCCAGCCAUAUGGUUUUAUAAAAAAGGUACACAGAGAGAUAUGUUAUAUUACUUUCUAACGUAAGAAACAUCUUCCGAAGAAACUAGUCCCAAUAUCGGUUCCUUUCUUUGGGUUUUCAUGCUAAUCAUGAUCAUGAAACCUCACCUCCGAUCAACGUGGGAGGAAAAUAUCGAGGAUUUAGUGUGGGGAAUGUUCCCGAACUCUAUGGUCUUAAUGAACCAAAAUUUUCACUUCCGCCGUUGCCGACCAAUUAUAUUCUUAAGAUAUCUAGCUUUUGCCUUCACCCAGUCUGAGGUACUAAUCCGGAUGACCCGGUAGUAACAAUCACAGAGGUGCUCCAUUUACCCCCUAGCCGAACAAUCGGGAAUGUAGGGUUAAACACAGGAGCCAGGCAACCCAGCGUGGCCAAAAUCAUAAGUAAAAUUUGAUGCCUAUUUAUCGCUUUAUAAUGAUAAUUAUGGAAGGCAGCACUUGUAUACUGAAUACAAACAAUGAUGAUAUAUGUUAAUUUUGACUCCGUUGCGACCGUUUAUCAGUUGAAAGUCGCCCAUCGUUGGCUUCUACCCCUUUGUAGAUACAACGUAGGGUGUUUCCGCAGUAACAAGACAACCCUUAGCUGACGUAUUGGUGCCUGGAGGCGAUUGUGUUAGCGGAAACAAGGCAAUCAGAUACGGCUUUAUAACUUUCACUUAGUCAUAGGAGCUUUAAACUGGGGAAGCUAGCUACGAGCCCCGGGUUAGUGUUUGGCACCGACCGAAGUCUAGCCAUUAACACUUCGGCCAAUGUUAUGAAAGGCCCAUCGUUUAACACGGAGUAAUUGGUGUUGAUCUAUAUACUACAAAAAAUGACACAUCCGUGACAUUUUGGGCCGAACAAAUUUUUUUCUGUCAUACAUAUGACACUUCUAUGACGAUAAUUGUGACAAAACGCGGUAUCAUCAUAGAUGUGGUGGGCUCCUACUUCUAUGACAAAAAAUCAUGACAGAAAAUGGGCUUUUCGUCCUAGGCGGGCCGGAGACGCAGCAGCAUGACAUUCUUUGAGCCAUCAAUGACGGAAAAAACCAUGGUAGAAGCGAGGGCGAGGAAAAUUUCACGGAGUUCCCGGUUACGGUGAGAGGUCGGGGGCCGAGCGAUGCGCGUUUCUCUUGUACACGUACGCGCGUGUGUGCGAGGCAUUGGCUCUAACUGAACACGAGCGAGGCGUUGGGCUCUAAUUGAACCCGAGCGAUUGCACUGCAGGCUACGCGUUACUGAACCCGAGCAAUCGAUCGAUGGCUGUUAACUGAACCCGAUCGAGCGAUUCCUUCGCUACUGCUGCUAACUGAAGCCGAUCGAUUGGAUGAACAGUGAGNNNNNNNNNNNNNNNNNNNNNNNNNNNNNNNNNNNNNNNNNNNNNNNNNNNNNNNNNNNNNNNNNNNNNNNNNNNNNNNNNNNNNNNNNNNNNNNNNNNNNNNNNNNNNNNNNNNNNNNNNNNNNNNNNNNNNNNNNNNNNNNNNNNNNNNNNNNNNNNNNNNNNNNNNNNNNNNNNNNNNNNNNNNNNNNNNNNNNNNNNNNNNNNNNNNNNNNNNNNNNNNNNNNNNNNNNNNNNNNNNNNNNNNNNNNNNNNNNNNNNNNNNNNNNNNNNNNNNNNNNNNNNNNNNCUACGGUAGCCCGUGGAGGCUGGAGGAGGUCGACGGUGGAGAUGAACCAUAUCCCGUGGAGUCCCGUUUUGCGGUAUGCCACACCCCUCCCAAUGAACAGGACCCCCGUUUCGACCAUAGGAGGUCUAUUUCGUUCGUUUUGUGGUACGCCACACCCCUCCCGAUCAACAGGACCCCUGUUUCGACCAUAGGAGGUCCAUUUCGUCCGUUUUGUAGUACGCCACACCCCUCCCGAUGAACAGGACCCCCGUUUCGACCGUAGGAGGUCCAUUUCCUCCGUUUUGCGGUAUGCCAGACCCCUCCCAAUCAACAGGACCCCGUUCCAAACGUACGAGGUUCGUUUCCUCCGUUGUGAGGUACGCCAGGCCUCGUUUCCAUCGCUUGUUCCGUCCAAGCCCUCCUGAUGAACACGACCACGCAUUCCGUUCUGACCCAGCCGGUUGGCUCCCACGCGUUUCGUUGCCUCCCGAUGAACACGACGCAUUCCAUUGCCUUCGCAUGAACACGACGCAUUCCGUUGUCUCUCCAUGAACACGACGACGACGUUGUUUCUCCGUUCCGACCCAGCCAUGUACACGAGCCCUAGCCGUACAUAUGCGCGAGUAGGCGUUCGAGACCCCGCCCGUGUGUACACAUACGUGCCCGUAUUUUCUUUCUUGCACCCUGGCCGCUGUACAUACGUGUACAUGCUACGUGUGUGCCUCUACUACGACACGUACGCACCUCUACUAUGACACGUGUGCACCUCUACAUCCACCAGUAUAUAUGUACGUACACGUUCGCGACCAGAAUGACAACGCUACGUACGCUUCGACCAGGUGGGUCCCGACUAUCAGGCACUUCCUUGCCUGCGAAGAUGUAGCUGGUGGGUCCCAGCAGUCAGGGGGCGAAUCUUUUUUUUUUGCUCGGACGCACUUCCUUGCGUGCGAAGAUGUAGCUGGUGGGUCCCAGCAGUCAGGGGCAAACGUUUUUUUGCAAAAUACGGUGGCCCGUGCGGUGGGUCCCCGCUGUCAGGUGGAGGUAUAAUUAUUUUGCACGUAAUAAGGAGGCACUUCCUUGCUGCGGCCAUGGACCCAGCUGUCAGCCUCUCCACGUACAGUCCAUGUCCGAUGGAAGCCGUUCCUUGACCAUGUUGACCAUGCCAUGCCGAGAGCACUAGGGCGGUGGACGACGGUGAGGCCUAGGAAGGGGCGACGCAGAGCCGGGGAAGACGCGGUAGUGGAUGCCCACGCGUAGAGGAGUAUGAGGGUUCACUGGUUCGCUGUGGUGUGAGGUUGUCAUCGCCGCGGAAUAACAGGGGGUGUGGGUGAGUAGAGGGAUGGCCUGGCCAGUGGUGGGAGUAGUAGGGGGUGGUGAGGCCUCCGCAGCAUCGCAGCCGGCCACGGGAGGCAGGAGCACGAGGCACGACCGGCGCUGGUUUGGGCAGCUGGAGUAAGAAGACCAGAGGUUGUAGAAGCACUACGGUCGUUGGAUGGACAUCGUACGGUCACUGGAGCUAGAAUCGUGCAUAUUGACUAAGUUCACAAAGCCCUCCGUCCCCAUCAACUUAGUAGGCCCACAAGUCAGCCUACCACUAUACUUGGUCCUAGCUAACAGUGGGAGUAUUCAUUUUUUUGUGCGUAAUAAGGCGGCACUUCCAUGCAUGCGAAGAUAUAGCUGGUGGGUCCGAGCUAUCAGCGGCGGUAAUGUUUUUUCGGUGGGUCCCUAAUGUCAGGUGGAGUAAUCAUUAUUUUGCACAUAAUAAGGAGGCAUUUCCUUGCAUGCGGCCGUGGACCCAGCUAUCGGCCUCUCCACGUACAGUCCACUUCAGAUGCAUGUCAGUCGUUGACCACGUUGACCAGGCCACGCCGAGAGCACCAGGGUGGUGGACGACGGUGAGGCCUAGGAAGGGAACGACACAGAGGCAGGGAAGACUCGGCAGUUGUUUCCCACACGGAGGGGAGUACGACUGUACGAGGGUUUACUGGUUCAUCUGCCGUCGUCGGAGAAUAAUAGCAGGUGUGGGUGAGUAGAGGGAUGGCUAGGCCAGCGAUGUGAAUACGGUGGGGCAGUGAGGCCUGCGUGGCAGUAGAGCCUGCCGCGGGGAGGAGGGAGUAGGCAGUCCCGCCGGCGCUUGUUUGAGCGGCUGGAGCAGGAAGAGCAGAGAUUGAAGAAGCAUGACGGUCGUUGGAUGGCCAUCCAACAGUCACUGCUUGUGCGUCAACCUUUUUUAGGAAUGCCUCAAAUCUGUGGAAAAAAGCAUACAACCCAUCUGCCAUUAUUUCUAAUAUUUUACAGCUCAUUUGCUAAUUAUUAAGGUUUUUUUGGAGCCCAUAUUCUUUUUGUUAGCAUUAUAGCCCAUAUUGUGGCCACGGUUAAAAAAUUAUACGAAAUUUUGCAUAUUUCGGUGUGGUCUGAACUGUUUUUAAUCCCGAAAUUUUGACUCGCAUUCAAACUGAUUUUAAAAAUAAAUGUAUAUCAAUAUAAAAUCCAACAAAUUCUCCACGCAUAAAAAUUAAUGUAAUUUAAAAUCUCGAAAUGAAAAAAAAGAUAUUUGAAACUAAUUGCCGGUUUGAUGUGUUUUAAAAAUGUACAGCCCAUUUCUCAUUACUGAUGGGCCAUUUUCUCGGCCAGCUGAAUGAAAGCUCUCCUCGUCUUGAAAGAUUUGCAGCCCAACAUGCCUGACAAAGAGACUUACUUGGCAAAUCACAAAAAAAAACUAGGUUGUGGCCGUGGACCCAGCUGUCAGCCUCUCCACGUACAAUACUCUUUCGAUGGAAUGUCGUCGACCACGUUGACCACGCCGCACCAAGGCGAUGGACGACGGCGAGGCCUAGGUAGGGGACGACGCGGAGCCGGGGAAGAUGCGGCAGUGGAUGCCCACGCGGAGAGGAGUACGAGGGUUCACUGGUUCGGCUGCGGUGUGAGGCUACCGUCGCUGCAGGGCCUGGCUAGCGGUGGGGGUAGUAGGGGCGAUGAGGCCUCAACGGCAGCAUAGCUGGCCACUGGAGGCAGGAGCAGGCGGUCUCCCCGGCACUGGUUUGGGCGGCUGGUGCAAGAAGAGCAGCGAUUGAAGAAGCAGCAGGACUGUUCGAUUCAAAUCCAACGGUUACUGCUACUAGAAUCGUUUGUUGACUAAGUUGACAAGCCUUGGGUACGCGUCAACUUAGUAGGCCCAUAGGUCAGCCUCCCGACCGGUGCGCCUCAAAUGUCAGUGGGAGGACUCAUUUUUUCGCGUAAUAAGGAGGCAGUUGAUUGCGUGUGGCCAGGCCAGCGGAGGGAGUAGGGUGGGCCGGGGAAGCCUGCGCGGCAUCACAGUGGGCCACAAGAGGAGGGAGCAUGCAGUCCCGUUGGCGCUAGUUUAGGCGGCUGGAGCAGGAAGAUCAGAGAUUGAAGAAGCAGGUCAGCUAUUGGAUGGACAUCCAACAGUCACUGCUGCUAGAAUCGUGUGUUCACUAACAAAGCCUUGCGUAAACAAGUUAGCCUCGAAAUUUGUGGCGUGUACAGCCCAUCUGCUAUUAUUUUUAUAAUUUAUACUCAUUUUCUAAUUCAUAUGGAAUUUAUUGCAGCCGGUUUUCCAUUUUUAGAAGUGUUGGCCAUUUUCUGGUCAGUACUAGGGUCAAAAAAUUAACUAAAUAUGUGGGAAAUUUUGAAAAUUCGCAAAUUUUUGCUGGGGAAACGAAAUAUUUUUAAUCCAAAAAUUAAUAGCCAUACUAAAACAAAUUUAAAAAUAAAUUAGUACUAUGUCAUGUUAAAUCCAAUGAAAUACGUAUAAGAUAUCAGUGAAGAACAAAAACAAAAAAAAGAAUUAUAUCCCAUUUGCUAUAUAUUUUUGGAAUUUUCAACCCCUUUUGAUAUUACUUUUAACAGACAUUGACCAUACUCUUAAGCCAGGUCGGAAUGCAUCCCUCCUCGUCUUGAAAGAUUUGCAACCCAGUAAUUCGGAGAAAACAAAUAGGCCUAGCUUGGGUAUUCUUCAAAAAGAAACAUUGGGCUACCUAUUUUCCCAAAGAACUGGUGCAUGAGCAUUUAGCUUUAUUUAUUUAUUUACUGAUUUAAGUUUAGGGGACCAUGAGCAUGUACCUGGGCCGGAUUCAUGUGAGAGCCUCCCUUCUAGUUAAUUAUGGGCUUCUCUAUUGGGCCUUCAUCAGUGGGCUGCAUGUUAUCAACAAGUGGAAAAUGUGUUCGGUACGAAAAAUAGUAUGCGCUACGUACGGUACGGGGCACUAAAGGAUCGAACCGUGCAACGACUUCCAAAAUAUUGUGUUUGUCAUUCUAACAACACAUUUAUUCAACCAACAGAUGAAAUAUACUACAGAUUGUACAUUGAAAACAGCAGCAGCAACCAGGGCUGGGGGUGCAACAGAAGCAGUAAACAGGCCAGAAGAAUGAAGACGCAGCUCUCUCUUCCAAACCAAACAUCAGCCAUCAUUACAAAAGGGCUACCAAAAAAGAACAAGUGUAUGCAUCAAACUAAAUAAAGAUCCUACUACACCAAGUGUACGCAUCUAACUAACUGGCUCAGUUAGAUAUUACUAUUUAUUAAGCUGUGGAGAUUGGCUAACGGCUUGAACCAGAUGGGUGCCUGACGGGGGAAACUCCAGCCAGUAGGUCGAAGUCUGAUACUUGCGACCCUCUCUCCUACUUUGGGCUGCAGAGCGUGGCGGCACAGUUUUGCCUGAUGAACAAAACUGCGCUGCCAUCAUGAUCCUUGUCGUCGGUUAUCUCCUGGUUAAUCGGAUAAUUCAGUCCGACAAACAGAGAGCGUGUACCAAGGCUACUUACCAGCCUCCAGUCAAAAAAUCCUGAAGGCCCAGAGAAGCUGGGAUCCUGCUCAAAGACCUUGCAGUGACUGUGAUUGUAUUCCGCGAAACAACACGGUCGGUACAUGCGAACGAUCAUCAAUCUUUCGCCGUCGUCUGAUCGAGCCAGGAACCACCUGCAACUUCCAUGCCGCUUUUCUUUGAAAGGUUCUGGGAUUAGGAAGGGUAGGGACACCAGGCGGCCUACAACAUCAUAUCAAGUUGGAGUCAAAUAAAAAAGGGCUCUUGAUUUAGUCAAUCUUAAGAACAGCAUGUUAUAAGCAUGAAUAUUUUUUCAGCAAAUGUUGACAGUAAUAUAAACAAGCCAUCAUGAUAUCAUAGGAAAGUAACAUACUACUGUAACAUCAGUUUGUAGCAAUGACUGGAGUAGGCCAGCAAUACGUCCAGCCAUAGAAGGAGUCGACAAUGUAAAUGAAGCCCUUGUGUUCAAUGGCAUCAGAGAACCAUGGAGGAUGUAUGAUCCUGCAAUGGACGUGCAGAUUUAUCCACUUACCGCAGUGACCUGUCAGAUAGGCGAGACCGCGGUUGAAGAAUGCAAUUAGCCUGAAGUCUUUAUAAUUCACAGAUCUUGUGGGCACUUGGCAGAUUACAACCUUGAGCAAAUCAAACUUGGUAUCAUGUUGCCUACUGUAAGAUUCUGAGUAUUCUGGGCCGCGGUGCCGAAGAAAUGCAGUGUUAAUCGAAGGAAGGGGGAUCAAUCGCCGGGUGUAGACCUCCAGGAGCAUCCAGCUGCCGCGACCGUCGAUGAGCACCAUCCAAGACAUGUUUAUGCCGACCCAGUACAUACCGUUAAUGUAGUUGAGGCUGACGGGGAUUGGAUCGCAGUCAAGGGGGUUGAUGCUCGCCACCCUACGAUCGUUAUGCUGCGUGACACGCCAUUUCUGAAGAUAGGCGGCAUCAGCAAGCAAGGAGCUGGCUUAAAAAGCUCCGGCCUGAGGACUUUGAGUAAAUGGUACAGCCCCGACGAGCACGCGGCGAGCGGCAUGGUACUAAGAUUGUCCACAUGCAAAACAAUGAGCUUGAUUACCUUUGUGGGGAGCGAAUUCCAGCCACUCUUUCGGCGGACGCUGCUUGGUUCUUCCAUUGUUAGUACUUGGGUUUCGGAUGAGGGGGGGAGGCGCCUUAGCAAGGAUGGAAGAUUGGACGAGAUUAUGUGCGGACAAAGAUGGAGAAUCGAAUAUGUGUUGUGGGAAGUGGACAGGUGAUGAUGACUACAGCACGCCGCUUGACUUACGAGACACAUACCGGCAAAGUAGGGUCAUGUCGAUGCCAGACAACUUGCUUGAGUGAUCACAGUACUGGUACUCCCUACAGUGGUAUGCCCUAACUUGCUUGAGUAGAGUAGUAGAGUAGGACUCUGCUCUACUACUAGCACCGGAGGAGUAGUAUAUUCUAAUCUAAAAUAGUUACAAACUUUAAUGCCCGAGCAUGGAACGACUACGAACCAUGCCCAAAGACCGUGUCUACGUGGUGUUUGGACAUGGGCGACAACCUCAACACCAACGGUGCUGCUCCCGUUGCACCGUAUGUGUUUUUGUCCUUCCUGUUCGAAAUCAUGGUAGAAUUCAUGAUUUAUUUUGUGCUUAUUCGGAUUAAAUCUCAUAGUAACUUGCUCAUAUAUUCAACUGGCGCAACGUCCCCUACAGCCACUCCCGUUUCAUGGAUGGCCUGGUCGAUGCCUCCAAUGAGCCCUUCGUCCACUGCUAUGAGUGCCCGAUGCCGUUUUGUGGCUCGCCGGCGGACAUGGUGCAUCACCUCACGGAUGCGUGCAGCGGUCACUGCUGGCCCUUGGUGGAGAAUAUCCAGUACGAGAAGUGCUACCCGUUCACCAUGCCAGAGUCGCUGGAGGAUCGACAUGAGAGGGAGGGGGAGGAGAUAGCGAUGAAUGUGAACGUGAGGGGGAGGAGAUAGCGAUGUCGUGGGAGGCGCAGUAUUUAUAGCGAGCAAUGGCACACCUACGUAAGAUAUGGACUAAGCUGCACUGACUUAACUGCAGGUCCAGUUGCGUCACUGACAUGUGGGCCAGAUCCCUGUUGGGCCCAUAUGUCAGUGACCCAAUGCACAUGCAGUUAAGUAACAACUAUGUGGGCAUAUUUGUUGGAGUAAAUUACGGGGGAGCGAAGGGGUGGAAAUAUUGCUGGUCACAACGGAUUGGACGAGCGUGGGGGGAGGAGAGUCAUGCAUGCAGAUUUUUUCACACUGGGUGGAGUGGUGGGACCGCCGGAGGGAGAAGGAGAGUUUGGCAGGCAUAUUGUUUCCACACAUGGAGAGGAAAAGAUUUGGAGACGAACGAGCUUCCUGCAGGUAUGGGGAACUGUGCAUAAUAAGUCAUCUUGCAUGCCGGGCUAGGUAUAGUCUCAAGUCAUUAAAAACAUACACGCCCCACACAUGUUCAUAUUUCAAGGUGCACUAAAUUAUUGCAUGCAAUGAUUAAGGCUGGCCAUAAUGGUGGUAUCUUAGCUGGUAUCAUGCACACGGGAAUAGCAAACAUGUUGAUGUGGCAAAGAAUUAAAGAAGAGAGGGGGGUUAGAGUAACUAGUGUUCAUGCAUGCAUUGGUAAACACAUUUUUUUGUGAAGAACAACAACACUAGUUGAGUACUUAUGCAGACUUCAAAAACUAUUCCACCGCCUCCACUAUCUUGCUAAGAGUAGGUGAAAUUUUUGAAUCGAUCCCUCUAAACUAGAAGGGAGGUAGUGGUAUUCUAAUAGCUAACCUUGUUGUGAUGACAAGAUAGGACAUGGCACGCACCUGGACGGAGGAACUAGUCUACAUUGUGCAUUUAAGUUUAGUCUGAAGUCAAUGUACCUCUACUUUCACCAGACUUAUAGAAAAAUGUGUCAACAUUCACAAUGUCAAAUCAAUAUUUUUACACUCAUUAUAAAAUGUAGUUCUUAUACUCAUUAUAAUCAGUAUUGUAGAUAUUGAUAUUUUUAGUAUAAAUUUGGUCGUGGGAUUUCAUUGAUGCCUGUCAAAGCAUGGAGGAAGCGGAGCUUAGGGCUUGCAUUGCCGGUCUCUACAUAGGUAUUUCUCUUCAUAAUCCUGUAUCGAAUGAGUGUACUGGUGUGGCUGGUUAAUUAAUAUAAGGUUGUGUUCAAAAAAAGUAUAAAUUUGGUCAAACACUUUGCAAACAGUUGACGGGAGUAAAAAGGACCAGAGGGAGUAUCAUGCAUGCGGAGUAGGCAAAAAAAUUGCUUGUCUAAAAAAGGCAAAAAAAUUGCUCAUUUAUAGCCGAUCGAAGUCUCAAAGGGCGCGACCGCGUGAGGGAGGCGAAGGUCAUGGGAGGCGCGACGUUUGACGGAAUUAAGUGAAGUUACAUCCACGCGUUGGCAUGGCGUGCAAACAGGCAGAAGCUAUACUGUCAGGCCUACGAUAUGGGUCUAGUAGACAUGACAUCUAGUGGGUCCCGCAUAGUUCUCGAGAAAUCUUUGGGGGCUUGCAACCGUUUAUCCACCGGGCAAGCCAGCAACCCCAUGCCGUUCGCACGCCCUACUCGUCCCCGUCUUCUACCUUACAACAGUUCGCUCCAAGUCGUCCCGUCCUUUCACAUUAGUUCGCUCCUAGUUUUUUUUGCGGGGUACAACAGUUCAACUUCUCCUAACCCUCCUCCAAAAUCCAUGGCCUCCCAAAUCUCCAUGGUCGCCGCUGAGUACCAGGUUAGAGCCAUCACCGGUGAUCAGUUCAUUGUCAUCUACACACGUGGAUCCGAGACGGUGAAAGCAUGGCUUGAUCGCUUCCUACGCAUGUUCAACAGUUCAACGGAUGAGUGGGUCGCUAGGCUAGAUGUUGAGUACACCACAGUCCUGGGAUGAGAGAAGGAUCUAAAGGACGAAGAGAGGAAGAAGCCCCCCGUGAUCCAGGUUUGCGUACAUAACGUUUGAUUGGUCUACCACAUAUGCCAUGCCGACGUUGAGUGCCAAGAUUUUAAGAACUUCCUCAAGGACAAAAGAGUGAAAUUCGUUACUGUAGGCUUUAAGAACGACAGGGAUGUCCUGCGUCGGAUAGGUCUCAUUGUAGGCCAGCCCUUCGAUCUCCAGAAGGCAAGCCUGGUGUCCUCCUCUCAACCUUCAAUGCUGACCCUGGCAGUAGCCAUGAUUGAUCCUUCGUACGCUAAACUGAAGAAACCUCAUCACGAGUUUCAUCAUGCAUGGGAGUCGAAGACAUUAGAUGAAGAUCACAUCCUGUACGCAGCAAUGGAUGCCUACCUUUGUUUAAAUAUCUACAAGGGUUGGAUGAAGAAGUAGAGCCCAGUGUCCGGUUCAAGCAAAGAAGCGUUGGCGAAGAGGAAGAGGAAGAGGGACGAGGACGAAGUCGAGGACGUGGACUCGGACUCCGAGUAUGUGGCAGUAUCGUCGCUCAUGUUGGUUCUAAUGCAGUGUCAAGCAGACUAGUUGCUUAGUUUAUUUUCAAGGGUGUGUUGUGCUGAGGCCCCUGCAGAACUAUGUUUAUGUUCUUUCUCGUUAUUUGAACUCUUUAGUAUGCACAGUAGUACUAGUACUAUGUCUUACUACUGUUCUUCUUGCAGUUGGUACUACUGCUCAUAUCUUCAUGUUCCUACUGUACUUAAUACGAUCGUACUAGUAGUAUAAUUUGGGUCAGUCGAUUUGUGAAAGAAGUUCGACGGAGCGAAGGAAGAAGACGGCAGAAGAGGUGGAAGAAGCCCUUCUAGCCAUCCAUGUUGCAUCAAACAGCUCACAUGAGUCGACUGACCCAAAUUGCUCCUUCAGAUUGCAGGAUCCACGUGGCAUUCAAGGUCUCGAAGGUAGAUUCCGCAUCCGCACCCGGUUUGCGGGCUCGACGCGCAUGCGACAGGCUUCUGCAACGACAGCCACCAUGCGCGCCUCCUCCGUGCGGCCGGAGACGACAAUGACACGGUAGUUCCUCCUCGCCGGCUUGCUGGAGCAUGCGCUCGUCCUCCUCUUCGUAUGCUGCGUGCAUAGACGCGGCUCCGCCAGCUGCUCGCGUGCUUGGCAGCACGGCGGCAUCGCGAGGAGGGACUGCAGACGACGUGAGCGGGCGAGCCUUUGGCUUCAUGGCACAGGGAUGGCGGCGACACGGCGGUGAUGGGCGAGAAAUUGUUGGCCGGAGCAGGCGGGCGCCGGCAUGCGCAACGGCGGCGGCAACAUAUUGAUGAG